GACGAACGCUGGCGGCGUGCUUAACACAUGCAAGUCGAACGGUAAGGCCCCAGCUUGCUGGGGUACAUGAGUGGCGAACGGGUGAGUAACACGUGGGUGACCUGCCCCGCACUUCGGGAUAAGCCUGGGAAACUGGGUCUAAUACCGGAUAGGACCGCACCGUGAGGGUGUGGUGGAAAGUUUUUCGGUGUGGGAUGGGCCCGCGGCCUAUCAGCUUGUUGGUGGGGUAAUGGCCUACCAAGGCGGCGACGGGUAGCCGGCCUGAGAGGGUGGACGGCCACAUUGGGACUGAGACACGGCCCAGACUCCUACGGGAGGCAGCAGUGGGGAAUAUUGCACAAUGGGCGGAAGCCUGAUGCAGCGACGCCGCGUGGGGGAUGACGGCCUUCGGGUUGUAAACUCCUUUCACCAUCGACGAAGGUUUUCUGACGGUAGAUGGAGAAGAAGCACCGGCUAACUACGUG
rnacentral:rRNA from 1 species